rnacentral:tRNA from 1 species
GGGCGUGUAGCUCAAUCGGUUAGAGCGACGGCCUUAUAAGCCGUAGGCAGAUGGUUCGAAUCCAUCCACGCCCA